AGUGAACGCUGGCGGCGUGCCUAAUACAUGCAAGUCGAACGGCAACAUAAUAAGAUUUUUCUCCUGCGGUUGGCGAGUGGCGGGUGAGUGAGAAAUGCAUCACAUACCUCUAUUUCUGGGGUGAUAUCGGGGAGCCACUUCUACUACUACCUCAUACAAUCUACCGCAUGGUGCAAUAGUUCUUCACGCCUUUCCUGUCUGUAUUAGCUGAUGUCGGAUUAGCUAGUUGGCUUGGUAAAGGCCCACCAAGGCAACGAUCCGUAGCUGGUCUGAGAGGAUGAUCAGCCACACUGGAACUGAGACACGGUCCAGACUCCUACGGGAGGCAGCAGUGGGGAAUAUUCGACAAUGGGCGAAAGCCUGAUCCAGCCACACCGCGUGGGUGAAGAAGGUCUUCGGGUUGUAAAGCCCUUUUGUUAGGAAAGAAAAGAAGCGGAUUAAUACACCGCUGUUCUGACGGUACCCAAUCAGAAAGCACCGGCUAACUUCGUG
rnacentral:rRNA from 1 species